rnacentral:rRNA from 6 species
ACGACUCUCGGCAACGGAUAUCUCGGCUCACGCAUCGAUGAAGAACGUAGCAAAAUGCGAUACUUGGUGUGAAUUGCAGAAUCCCGUGAACCAUCGAGUUUUUGAACGCAAGUUGCGCCCGAAGCCUUUUGGCCGAGGGCACGUCUGCCUGGGCGUCACGC